CAUUUGUCUAUACGAUUGACUUGUUUUAAUAUAAUAUUUAAAACAAGUGAACUGUGUUGUUGUUUGUUUAUUGUUGAAACUGAUCGUUAACAAGUCACAGACAUCUAGUGUAAAGAAUCCUGACUACAAAAUCUGACAGUGGCAAUAUGGCUUCGGAAUUCCAAUUACAAAGUGCCAAAAGAAGCCAUUGCAUACGACUAUUUCAGGCCAAAAAUGUUAAUGCUUCAUUAUAAGAAUGUAGAUUAUUUUGAAAAUAUUAAAUACCAUAAGUAGUUUCGAUAUAACUAUACGAGCAUAUUUUUUUUACAUCACAAAAUGGGAGUUCGGGCGAUCCCCCUGCAUACGUGGGUGCUCCUUUAACAAUAAUUAACAUUAAUUAUUAGUUAGUGUAUACCGUAUAAUUUAUUUGUAUCGUAUUUUUGUCAAUAUUUUCUCAUCCAAAAAAUUGAAAUUCAAAAGUUUAAUACUAGUGUGUCCUUCUUCGCGUUUGGGAACACAUUUUGAAUUACAAUUUCUACCUAUAUAAAGCCUUAAACUAGUCAAAAGUAUCUUUAGUUUAAAAGAUAACCUAUAUUGACAUGUUUGUUAUAGAUUCCCCAAGGAAUGUAAAUUGUAAUAACUUAUAAGUUAUAUAGCUGCAUACAACUACAACGUUACUUGCUGCUUCUUAAUAUUUUGUUGAACUUGGAAUCACACAUAUUGAAUUUGAUAUACUCACUGAUUGAACUUUUAAGUUUGUUUUGGUAAUGGGUUAUGAAAGUGAAGAUAACUUCAUCUUCCUAAUGUAAUCAUGGAAGCAAUAAAGAUUAAGGCUGAACCCUUUUUUGGUGAGGAAGAUGCUUUGUUGGAUAUGAAAUUGAUGAAAAAUGAAGUAGAAACUUCUACAUUAACUGUUAGAGAAGCUGUUUCCUUUGAAGAAAGAUCUUCACAUAUAAUUUAUGGGUUUGGUGUUACAAAACAGGAGUUGGAAGAGAAUUAUAAUGGAGUACCAGAGAAGACUGAGG